GACAGAGGUUGCAAACGUUGUUCGGAAUUACUGGGCAUAAAGCGCACGUAGGUGGUCUGCUAAGUCGCAUGUGAAAUGUCCCGGCUCAACCGGGGAAUUGCGUGCGAUACUGGCAGGCUCGAGGUCGGGAGGGGUGAGCGGAACUCCUGGUGGAGCGGUGAAAUGCGUAGAUAUCAGGAGGAACACCGGUGGCGAAAGCGGCUCACUGGCCCGAAUCUGACACUGAGGUGCGAAAGCUAGGGUAGCAAACGGG
rnacentral:rRNA from 1 species